GUAGUCCACGCUGUAAACGUUGGGCGCUAGGUGUGGGGGGCCUCUCCGGUUCUCUGUGCCGCAGCUAACGCAUUAAGCGCCCCGCCUGGGGAGUACGGCCGCAAGGCUAAAACUCAAAGGAAUUGACGGGGGCCCGCACAAGCGGCGGAGCAUGCGGAUUAAUUCGAUGCAACGCGAAGAACCUUACCUGGGUUUGACAUGGCCGCAAAACUGUCAGAGAUGGCAGGUCCUUCGGGGGCGGUCACAGGUGGUGCAUGGCUGUCGUCAGCUCGUGUCGUGAGGUGUUGGGUUAAGUCCCGCAACGAGCGCAACCCUCGCUGCCAGUUACCAUGUCUGGCGGGACCGCCGGGUCCAACCCGGAGGAAGGUGGGGAUGACGUCAAGUCAGCACGGCUCUUACGUCUAGGGCUACACACACGCUACAAUGGCCGGUACAACGCGCAGCGAUGGGGCGACCCGGAGCGAAUCGCAUCAAAGCCGGUCUCAGUUGGGAUUGCAGGCUGCAACUCGCCUGCAUGAACGCGGAGUUGCUAGUAACCGCAGGUCAGCACACUGCGGUGAAUACGUUCCCGGGCCUUGUACACACCGCCCGUCACGUCAUGAAAGUUGGAGACGCCUGAAGUCGGUCAGUGAACCUUUAUGGACACAGCCGCCGAGGGUGGUGCCAGCGAUUGGGACG
rnacentral:rRNA from 1 species